rnacentral:rRNA from 1 species
AUACGUAGGGGGCAAGCGUUAUCCGGAUUUACUGGGUGUAAAGGGAGCGUAGACGGCGAUGCAAGUCUGAAGUGAAAACCCGGGGCUCAGCCCCGCGGCCUGCUUUGGCAACUGUGUUGCUGGAGUGCAGGUGAGGUGAGUGGAAUUCCUAGUGUAGCGGUGAAAUGCGUAGAUAUUAGGAGGAAAACCAGAGGCGAAGGCGGCUCACUGGACUGUAACUGACGUUGAGGCUCGAAAGCGUGGGGAGAAAACAGGAUUAGAUACCCUGGUAGUCCACGCCGUAAACGAUGAAUGCUAGGUGUCGGGGGGCAAAGCCCUUCGGUGCCGCCGCUAACGCAUUAAGCAUUCCACCUGGGGAGUACGUUCGCAAGAAUGAAACUCAAAUGAAUUGGCGGGG